AUCCAGCUACGAGUCCCGAAUAGGACGAAACGUGCGUUCUAGAU
rnacentral:hammerhead_ribozyme from 1 species